GACGAACGCUGGCGGCGUGGAUUAGGCAUGCAAGUCGAACGGUAUCAUCCUUUCGGGGGUGAGAGAGUGGCGAACUGGUGAGUAACACGUAGGUUAUCUACCCUCAAGACGGGGACAACCCAGGGAAACUUGGGCUAAUACCGGAUGUGAGCAACUUUUAGUUGUUUGAAAGGUGGCGUAAGCUGUCGCUUGGGGAUGAGCCUGCGUCCUAUUAGUUAGUUGGUGAGGUAACGGCUCACCUAGGCAAUGAUAGGUAGGCGGCCUUAACGGGUGGUCGCCCACACUGGGAUUGAGAUACGGCCCAGACUCCUACGGGAGGCAGCAGUCGAGAAUAGUCUACAAUGGUCGGAAGACUGAUAGUGCGACGCCGCGUGAACGAUGAAUCCCUUCGGGGUUAAAGUUCUUUUAUAUGUGAGCAGUGCUUCUUAUAUUAACAGUAUGGGGAGAGAGAUUAUUAGCAAUAUGAAUAAGCAACGGCUAACUCCGUGCCAGCAAGCCCGCGGUAAACUCGU
rnacentral:rRNA from 1 species